rfam:Camelus ferus unplaced genomic scaffold scaffold283, whole genome shotgun sequence.
GAGGGUAUAGCUCAAGUGGUAGAGCGCAUGCUUAGCAUACACAACAUCCUGAGUUCAAUUCCCAGUACCUCCU